rnacentral:rRNA from 1 species
UAAGCUAUCACUGAAGGAGGGGGAUUGCGUCUGAUUAGCUAGUUGGAGGGGGUAACGGGCCCACCAAGGCGAUGAUCAGUAGCCGGUCUGAGAGGAUGAACGGCCACAUUGGGACUGAGACACGGCCCAGACUCCUACGGGAGGCAGCAUG